UCUUUGGUUAAACUUUUAGGAAAAAAGUCUGAGCCGCUUUUAAUUUUCUUUCUGUUUUUAAAUAAAUUAUUAGAGAUAAAGUUUCUCUCUAUUAGGAACUCUGUGUACAUGAGUUCAUUGAGCUUAUUCUUAAUAAAGACAAAUCUUCCAGAAAUAAUAGUUGUUAACUUUAAGUGAUCUCAAGAAAAGGAAAAUUUUUAGUUUCUCUGGGGAAUGAAUUUUCAUGACCUAAUCUUAAAUCAGGUUAUUUCUUCUAGCCUGUUUACUAAAUUUCUACAUGUUGUAACCUAAUGAAAUUUUCUUACCUCCUCUUUAUUUAAAACAAACGAUAAUUACUGUCUUUUAAAAAAUCUUCCAAUGUAAUGUUCUUAUUUUUCUUAACACAUUAAUUUUCCUGGGCCAAAUUGUGUUACUAUGAUCCACAUUAAGGCUGUUAUAUAAUACAAUAAAAUUGUAGAACUUUCAUACCUUGAAGGAUCUUAGCAAUUAUUUAAUUCAAACCCAUUCUAACAUAGAUGAUAAAACAGAUUUGCAGAGUUGGGUGACUCAUACCUGUAAUCCCAGCACUUUGGGAGACUCAAGCGGGAAGAUUGCUUGAGCCCAGGAGUUCAAGACCAGCUUGGGCAACAUAGUGAGACGCUGUCUCUACAAAAAAAAAACUUAAAAAAUAGCCGGGCAUGGUGUCACAUGCCUGUAGUUCUAGCUACUUGGGAGGCUGAGGUGGGAGGAUUGCCAGAGCCUGGAGGUUGAGGCUGCAGUGAACCAUGAUUAUACCACAGCACUCUAGCCUGGGCAACAGAUCGAGACCUUGUUUCACAAAAUAAAACAAAACAAACAGAUCUACAAAGAUCAACUUGUUCUAAGUCAUAUAAUCUUUUUGUGUAAUAACUAAAAACCACAUCUUCUAACCUCAAACCUGGUAUUUUUUUCUACGAAAUUAUGUUCUACAGUCCAAAUUAUUUUUCUUUAUUAUUUUGAAUCCUAAAGUAGAAAUAGAAACUUAGAAAAAUAAAAAGCAACUCCUUUAUAAUAUAUGAGGACUUUUUCAGUUUUAAAUCAGAAAAACCCAACUCAAGGUAGCUUAAAUAAAAGGACUUACAUAACCUAAAAGCUCUGGCCUGGAUCUAGGUGCUCAACAGAUCUCAAGAGUAUCUCAUUCUCUCUUCCUCCCUUACCCUUCUCCUCCUUUCUCUCUUCUGUAUAUAUGUUAUUUUCAAACAGGCUGUAACAAGUAGUGGCGAGAUAUAGUUCCUAAUAGCUUCAAGUUUGCAUUCUACCUACUUUAGCAACUAUGAUGGGAAGAGAGCUACAAUUUGAGCAAAAAUUUAUAGGGUGAGUUCUGAUUUCCCUGGAUCGAGGCACAUACCUAUUCCUGAACCAAAUAUUCUGGCCAGGGAAUGGAAUUCUCUGGGACAUGUAUCUAAAGCUGAAGUAUAGAGCCUGCCACACAGGGAUAAUAAUAGUUUUCCAAAGAAAAAUCGAGGAGGGGAAAGAAUGUUGGAAAGAGAAAAAAAUAUCAGUUGUCUGCUUCACAUUUAUUCUCAAUAAUUAGUUUCAUAUAAGUGAAAUACUGUAACACCCUAAACUUCAGAGAUUCUUCAUAGACAGAAAAAAUAAGAGCUCAAAGAAGUUGUGACUUCGUUCAAAUCACAUAGUUUCUAUACAUGCUAUUAGUAAAACCCAGGACAGCUGAGUACAAGUUUUACCCUUAUAUUCACAUUGAGGUCCAGAUCCUGGUUUUGAAUGAGAUAAUUAUGUGCAGUAGGACUGUUUUCUGAUCCUUAAAAUAGAGACAAUGAUAUCUAUCUUGUAAAGUUGUGGUAGUGUUAAAGAUAUAUAAAAUGAUGGCAAGUACCUUAAUAUACGAAAAGCUGCUGUAUGUUGUCAUUGUAAUAAUAGCCAUGUUUCUUCCUUUAUUGAAUUGCUUUCCUAUAGUAAUCUUACUGUGAUCAUCCUGAAACAUAGAUUUCCGAGCUUCAAGCAAACACUAUUAUGUUGAAACAUCUACAUUAUUUCUAAGUUUAGCAGUGCCGGUGGAAAGUUUACUGAAAUAGAAAAUUGCUUUUUUAACUGAGGAAUGUAGAUUAUAAAUUCAUGAUUCAUCUUCUCAGAAGAUGAUCGGAGUAUUGAUAAAUAUUGAUGCAUAGAAUAUGAACAAAACAUUACAUAUCUUGUGCUGUGAUAUUAAAGUAGUAUUCUGUUCUGGUGGUAGUAUGGCAGUAUUUUAGGUCUGAAAGAUGUAUAUAAUCUGUACUUUUAAAUGUGUUUUUUAAGAGAUUAAUCACAAGAGAUUUACAUAAAACUAAGGUUAAAAAUUAAUGGUGGAUUGGAGAUACAUCAGGCAAAUUUCAGUUUCAAAAGCAGAUGACAGAAUCUCAGUAUCAGAGUAGCAUUUAAAGCAAAAAGCAUUAAACUGGAUCAGAAAUGUCAUUUUACAUUAACGCAGGGUAUAUACUCCAGGUAAAGACUUAGCAGUUAUGAACCAGUGUGCUAAACAUAACAUCAAAAUGUAUUAAGCAAAAGCUGAAAAAAAUGAAGAAUAAUUGGUAGAAAAGCAAUGAUAGGAAUCUUUAUGGUACUUCAGAACUUACAAAGAAAGAAGAUACAGUCAUGUGCCACAUAAUGAUGUUUGAGUCAACGCCUGACAAUGGUCCUGUAAAAUUAAAAUGGAACUAAAAAGUUUCUAUUACUUAGUGAUGUUGAAACCGUUGCAAUGCAAUGUAUCACUGACAUGUUCGUGGUAAUGCUGGUGUAAGGAAACUACUGUACUGUCAGUUGUAUAAAAGCAUAGCACAGUUAUGUUCAGCACGUAAUACUUUAUAAUGAUAAACGAAUAUGUUACUAGUUACAUGUUUGCAGUACUAUUUUAUUAUUUUAACAUGUGCUUCUGCUUAUUAAAAAAUGUUAACUAUAAAAUAAUCUUUAGGCAGAUCCUACAGCAGGUAUUCCAGAAAACGGCGUUGUUGUCAUAGGAGAUGUCAGCUCCAUGGGUGUUAUUUCCCCUUAAGACCUUCCAGUGGGACAAGAUGUAUAGGUGGAAGACAGUGAUAUUGAUGAUCCUGACUUGUAGAGGCCAAGGCUAAAGUAUGUGUGUAUUUAUUAGUUUUUAACAAGAGUUUAAAAAGUAAAAAAAAAAAAUUAAAAAAUAGAAAAAAUCUUACAGAAUAAGGAUACAAAGAAAAAAUGUUUUUGUGUAGCUGUGUAAUGUUUUUAAGUUAAAUGUUACAAAAGAGUCAGAGUUAAAUUUUUGUAUGUUUAUAAAGUGAAAAGUUAUAAAAUGCUAAGGUUAAUUUACUGAAGAAAGAAAAAAUUUUAAAAUAGAUUUAGAGUAGCAUGUUUAUAAAAUCUACAGUAGUACACAGUAAUAUCCUAGGCCUUCACAUUAACUCACCACUCACCCACUGACUCACCCAGAGCAGCUUCCAGUCCUGCAAGCUCCAUUCGUGGUAAGUGCCCUAUACAGGUGUACUGUUUUUAUGUCCUUUAUACCAUUUUUACUGAACCUUUUCUAUCUUUUAGAUACACAGAUACCAUUGUGUUACAGUUGCCUAUGAUAUUGAAUACAGUAACUUACUAAACAGGUUUGUAGCUCAGGAGCUGUAUCAUAUAGCCUGGGUGUGUAGUGAACUAUACCAUCUAGGCUUGUAUAAGUAUAUUAUAUGAUACGGUGAUGAAAUCACCCAGAUGCAGUUUCUCUUAAGCAACAUAUAACUGUAGAUAUAUAGGUGGCUUGAAUAAUAAAAUAAUGAAAUGUAUUUUUUUCUGUCAUGAACAUUACCAAUCUUACAAAUUAGACCAACUACAAAACAAAAUCUCACUCGAAAAUAAAAAUAUAUAAGUCCCAUUUCUUGAUUACAAUUCAUUAGAACUGGAAUUUUUUUUAAUGUUUAAAUUUAUAUGGAAAUAUAAAAUCAUGUUUUAAAUAAUUUUUGAUUCAAUGAGGAAAUGUAAAUUUACAUUAGAAAUCAAGAUUAAUAACAAGUAGAGAUUUAUAAAGGCAAAAAUGUUAAUGAAUUAGGAAACAGUAAACCAUUUGAACUAAUAAAUCUAAAUACUGAUUGCUUGAAAAUGCCAAUAAAAUCAAUACAUAUUUUUAAAAGCCAGUCAAGGAUAAAAGAAAAGAGGGAAACUAAAAAUGAGACAUUAAGUACGAGAAAGGAGAUAAAACUACAGUGUGGAGGUGAUGUUAAAAAUUAUAUUCAGGUCUGUGCUAAUCAUUUUGGAAAUUUCAGUGAGAAAUGGGCAAUUUUCAGUGAAUAUGUUAUUGUAAAUGCUUUAAGGAGAGAGACAAAAUCUGAACAGACCCUGCAAUAAUGAAAAUGUCUAGGAGCCCUCAAGAAAUACCUGGUUUAAAUUGCAUUUCAGGUGGCUGCUUAUCAAACCUUGAAGUGUCAGGUAAUUAUGUUAUCUAAAUUGGACCAGGUGCUAGAAAAUAUGUAAGACUUCACAGGUGGCUGCUUAUGUAGCCCUUAUACCUUAAUCUGAUAAAGGUAGCAUAUAUGUAAAAAGAAAACCAGAAGGUACAGUUUAGGGAAAAUUAAAUAUUUCUAUUUGGCCAAAGUAAGAGUACAUUCAAGGGAAUUGUGAGAGGUAAGAGUGGAAAAAGAGGUUGGAGCUGUAUUUUUAUGCUGUGAUUGAAUUAUAGUGUGUGAUAAAUUGCUCUUGUUUGGGUAGAAUAACAUUUUGAAUUAAUUGGUAAUUGGAUUAAUCUUAACUUUAAAAAAAAUUAAUCUAAGAGUGGUAUAAAGGAUAGAUUACAGAAUGGAUAAAGGGUGAUAAAUCAGUUGGCUAUGGCGGAAUUGCAGGAAGAAACUGAAAUAGGCCACAGAAAACUGAAACUGACAUUUUGAGUAGUAUUUUGGAAUCAAGAUCUGGAUUUUGGCAGCUGAGUAGAUGCAUAGGAAUCAAAGAUGAGUAUACUAAAUGAACUUAAUCUAUGAUUUGUCUCAUUUUAUUGUGUACCAUUAGUGUGUAUCCAUGUAUGUAUGUGCCAGGUAGUUAAUAUGCUGACUGUGUCUGUUAGCUCCCCUCUGCUGCCUGGACCUUUGCCACAGUGCUAGAGUUCCCUCACUUCUCUUUUCUAUAACCCUGUGAUAUUACUGCUGUCUCUCAACUGUGUUUCCUUCCUCAAGCAGAAAGAAGAUGGCAGGAUCAUAUAGUAGUUGACUAGAAGCUGUGGAGUUUGAGUGCUGGGAUUAUAUCUAGUUCCAUUACUUAUGAAGAUAUAUGACCUUACCUCAUUAUAAAAUGGUUUGCCAAUCGUACCUACCCUACAUGGUUUUAUGAGUAUUAAAUUAUGUAUUUCUAAAGAGAUUUAGAACAAUACAAAGAAUAUGGUAUGGGCUCAGUAAGUGGUGGUGGUGUUAGUUAUUAGAAGGCCAUCAAGUGCUGGAGAAAAUAGUGAAUAUCUAUUGAUGGAAAGAAGGGGGUUUUCCAAGUUAAAAAGCUUCAGUUUUUGGAAAUGCGUGUUGUAAGUAUUUCUGAGAUUACCAGGUAGAAAUUCCAGCCAGAUGUUGGAAUUCUGCACUGGCAGUUGGGAAUAAAGUCAUGUUGAAGGAGAUAAGUUUUGGAGUUAUUGUGUAAAAUUGGUAAAGCACUGGAAUAGAUUGGAUUGACAGAGGGGAGACUCUUUUGAGAUAGGCCUAUAUUUAGGGACAAGAGAAGAGACAACCAAUAAGGGUUGAAAGAAACCUUAAGAGAGUAAGUCCUAUGACAGAAGCAGGGAAGUUUCAGAAUGGAUGCAGAAAGAUCAGCCAGGGUCUUCCUGUUCUCCAUCGUGGUGCGGCAUCAAGGUGAAAAGGAUAACACCAUGCAGGAACUUUGCAUCUGCAGGCUCUGCUUCAACAUCUGUUUAGGAGAAAGUGGAGACAGAUUGACCUGAGUAACUAAGGUGUUGGAGCAGCUUACAGGUCAGACCUGGUGUUUUCCAAAGCUAGAUAAUACUGUUAGCCCUUUUGGCAAUAGAAGAAAUUAAAAGACUGUUGUCUGCUGCACAGUUCGAGGGGCCAAGGCAGAUGAAAUCUUGGAGAAUGGUCUAAAGAUGCAUGAGUGUGAGUUAAGAAAAAAUACCUUCUCAGAUACUGGAAACUUUGGUUUUGGGACCCAGGAACACAUUGAUCUAGGUAUCAAAUAUGACCCAAGCAUUGGUGUCUACAGCCUGGACUUCUGUGAGGUGCUGGAAAAGCCACGUUUCAUCAUGGCAGGUAAGGAGUGCAGGACAGGCUGCAGUGGUGCCAAAUAGAAUCAGCAAAGAGUAGGCCGUGCACUGGUUUCAGCAAAAGUAUGAUGGGAUCAUCCUUCCUGGCAAAUAAAUUCUCAUUUCUACCCAUAAGGCCAAUAAAAAGUUUUCAGUGAAAUGUUUAAAAAAAAAGAUCAGCCAGCAGCCAGUAGGGUAGUUUGUUGAGAAAGCACUAAUGACCAUUAAGAAAUCAGCCUCGACUGGGCAUGGUGGCUCAUGGCUGUAAUCGUAACACUUUAGGAGGCCAAGGCAGAUUUCUUGAGUCCAGGAGUUGAGACCAGCCUGGGCAA